rfam:Pseudocohnilembus persalinus scaffold683, whole genome shotgun sequence.
AACCAGGUGCCUGAAUGGUUAAGGGACUGUAUAAAACAGGAAUAUUAAAUCAAACAUCUACAGUGUCCAUAUGGACUUGGAGGUUCGAAUCCUUCCCUGGUUA